AUUGAACGCUGGCGGCAUGCUUUACACAUGCAAGUCGAACGGCAGCGCGGGCUUCGGCCUGGCGGCGAGUGGCGAACGGGUGAGUAAUAUAUCGGAACGUACCCAAGAGUGGGGAUAACGUAGCGAAAGUUACGCUAAUACCGCAUACGAUCUAAGGAUGAAAGCAGGGGAUCGCAAGACCUUGUGCUCCUGGAGCGGCCGAUAUCUGAUUAGCUAGUUGGUGAGGUAAAGGCUCACCAAGGCAACGAUCAGUAGCUGGUCUGAGAGGACGACCAGCCACACUGGAACUGAGACACGGUCCAGACUCCUACGGGAGGCAGCAGUGGGGAAUUUUGGACAAUGGGGGCAACCCUGAUCCAGCAAUGCCGCGUGAGUGAAGAAGGCCUCGGGUUGUAAAGGCUCUGUCGGGAGGGAC
rnacentral:rRNA from 1 species